GAUGAACGCUGGCGGCGUGCCUAAUACAUGCAAGUCGAGCGAACGGACGAGAAGCUUGCUUCUCUGAUUUUAGCGGCGGACGGGGGAGUAACACGUGUAGAACCUACCUAUAAGACUGGGAUAACUUCGGGAAACCGGAGCUAAUAACGGAUAAUGUUUUGAACCUCAUGGUUCAAAAGUUAAAGACGGUCUUGCUGUCACUUAUAGAUGGAUCCGCGCUGCAUUAGCUAGUUGGUAAGGUAACGGCCUACCAAGGCAACGAUGCAUAGCCGACCUGAGAGGGUGAUCGGCCACACUGGAACUGAGACACGGUCCAGACUCCUACGGGAGGCAGCAGUAGGGAAUAUUCCGCAAUGGGCGAAAGCCUGACGGAGCAACGCCGCGUGAGUGAUGAAGGUCUUCGGAUCGUAAAACUCUGUUAUUAGGGAAGAAAAUCUGUCUAAGUAACUGUGCACAUCUUGACGGUACCUAAUCAGAAAGCCCCGGCUAACUACGUG
rnacentral:rRNA from 1 species